rnacentral:rRNA from 1 species
UACGUAGGGUGCAAGCGUUGUCCGGAAUUAUGGUGCGUAAGACAGUCGUAGGCUGUUAGUCGCGUCUUCUGUGAAAACUCGGGGCUUAACUCCGGGCCUGCAGUGGGUACGGGCUGACUAGAGUGCGGUAGGGGAGACUGGAAUUCCUGGUGUAGCGGUGAAAUGCGCAGAUAUCAGGAGGAACACCGGUGGCGAAGGCGGGUCUCUGGGCCGUAACUGACGCUGAGGAGCGAAAGCGUGGGGAGCGAACAGG